CCUACGGGAGGCAGCAGUGGGGAAUUUUGGACAAUGGGCGCAAGCCUGAUCCAGCAAUGCCGCGUGAGUGAAGAAGGCCUUCGGGUUGUAAAGCUCUUUUGUCAGGGAAGAAACGGUGAGGGCUAAUACCUCUUGCUAAUGACGGUACCUGAAGAAUAAGCACCGGCUAACUACGUGCCAGCAGCCGCGGUAAUACGUAGGGUGCAAGCGUUAAUCGGAAUUACUGGGCGUAAAGCGUGCGCAGGCGGUUUUGUAAGUCUGUCGUGAAAUCCCCGGGCUCAACCUGGGAAUUGCGAUGGAGACUGCAAGGCUAGAAUCUGGCAGAGGGGGGUAGAAUUCCACGUGUAGCAGUGAAAUGCGUAGAGAUGUGGAGGAACACCGGAUGGCGAAGGCAGCCCCCUGGGUCAAGAUUGACGCUCAUGCACGAAAGCGUGGGGAGCAAACAGGAUUAGGAUACCCUGGUAGUCCACGCCCUAAACGAUGUCUACUAGUUGUCGGGUUUUAAUAACUUGUAACGCAGCUAACGCGUGAAGUAGACCGCCUGGGAGUACGUCGCAGAUAAACUAAUAGAG
rnacentral:rRNA from 1 species